GCGGAUUAGUUUGGCGUGGAAUAUAUUUCCCGCUAAUCUCGCACUAAAUUUGCAGCGCAAAGUUAAAAUUUUCAGAAAAUUUAAGCGCCAUUUUUUUUCUUGUUGUGAAAUUUAACUUAACAAAAAGAGAAAAAGAAGCACUCUUCUUACGGCUUAGGUUUUUCCCAAAUCAAAUACUCCCAAAGGUUAGCUAUUUCCCCAAAUCAAAGACUCCUAGAACUCCCCAAUUCUCCGGAAAUCUCCCUCCAACAUACUCCGGUAAGUUAAUUUGUUUUCAUUAGUUUGUUGUUCUAUGAAUCUAUGUCUCCUCAUAGCUAUUGCGGGUGGGAAUUGUUUCCGCUCUCGCUGCAGAACAAAUAUUUUUUCAUUCUGUUUUGUAGUAUAAUUUUUCAUGUACGUUAGAGUGAGUGAGACGACUAACAGUGGCUGCUCUUACCAGUGCUGUAGAGAAAACUUAACAGGGAAUCAUAAGACUGGUAUGUAUUGGCUCUUACGCCGACAACCCUAGUUUUUUCAUUUCUCAACUCUAUAAAUUUCUUCCAAUUAAAUUAAUGGGUUUAAUUAUAUGUAUGUUUAUGGAUUUAUUACUCGCAUUUAUUAUUGAUUAAUGUGUUGUACUUUCUGUGACGUGAGCAAACUUAGCUUUACAAUGACAGUAGAUAGUGAUGAAAUAUAUGAAAUCUUAGAAUUAUGGUAGUGAUUCAGUUGAGAAAAUCCUAGAAUUCUAAGUAUAUUUGCCCGAUUUAUGCUCUCUGAUAAGCUAGGGGCUCAGUCUUAUCAAAUCUUAUUUAAUUGUUUGGCGCCUAUGGCUUGCAUAUAGUUUGGAUGGUUUUUCAAAAGUCAGCAUCCAAGGAGUGAGUUGAAAUCGUAAGGUUUAUUAGGUUGCUUUAGUAAUUAAGAGAAGUCUCAUAACUUCAGGACAUUCUCAAAAAGCAUUCCAAUGAUAAAGGUUCAUAAUAGUUCAUCUACCACUAAAAUUCUAAUCCAACCAACUAUAGUUGAUAGAUGCAAGAAAAGGUAGAAUAUCGAUCCUUCAACAGUUGCUUUAUAAACUUUCCUUCAUCUUAUUUUUUUGCUAUUCGAAUGAUUUUUUGCUACUCUUGUAAACUGAGACAAGAUUACAGUUACUACUCAAGUAAUCAUUUUUAAUAACUUUCUUGAAACUUUUCCAUCUUUGCAUGAAGACGUUGUUUAUCUGAAAGUUUAUUAAAGAUGGACGAAGAAUGAAUAAAUAGCUUUAUUGGAGUAAUAGCAAAAUUACAUGCAAUUCAUGUAUUUUUUGGUAAACUAUAACUUUAUGAUUGUGUACUUCUCUGUCAUUCUUAACUGUUGAGUGAAAUCCAUUUCGAUUCUAUUGCUAUGUUGGAAAAGACAGAAGAUGAGAAAGACAAGGGAAUUCACUAUUUCACUAUGUCCUGAAUAGUAAGGGCGAUGGGUAAAAGCUAAUGGCUGGCACUCAUUUAAAGUUAAAAUAUGCAGCUGCUUUUGAGGUGAAUUCCGCUAAACUACUUAAUUAGAGUUAGUGAUUUUGUUUUAGCUUGAAGUUUAUACUUACCAUUUCACUGAGAAUGAAUUUUUGGAAAGUGAUGUUUGGAAACAAAUUUCCUUCAUCUUAUGUUUGUUUCAUAAGCUAUUUUAGGGUGAACAUCAGUAUUUGUCCAUUGUAUAAUUAUAGAACCAUAUUAUAAGUAUAUUAUAUAAGGCAUAAAGUUGUUGACAUAUACAUAAAGAUGUCAACAUGACUUAUUAUGAAAAGUAGACAAGGUCAGACGGUCUAGAUAUCUUAUAGACAAUUUUGAUAUUGAAGAAGUUCAUCGCUUUGAUUCUUUAACGUGUACUGCUUUAUAGGAUUGAUGUUGAAUUAUUGACAUUUACACGUUUGAAUAUUUAGUCCUCUUCUUAUCUCCAUUCACAGUGCAUAAUUGUUCUGGCAUAAAGUGCUCUGAAUGGGUAGAUUUAUGUGGUAUGAUUUGUAACUUUUGAUAAAUUUAGCAACUAAUUCAAACUUAAUGAUUACUUUUCCAAAUUUAAUGAUUCAACUUAAGAAGUUAAGCUUAUUAUCGUUUCCAAAUUUAUUACACAGAUGGAUUCUCGCGGUAAAAAAAAUAAAAAACUCUAAGAAGAAGAAACACACUUUACCUAGAUCAAGUCAGUUUCCUCAAUCUAUACCAAAUAUGAGCCCUCUUCCUAUACCUCUUCGUCCUUCCAUGCUAGCUUCACAGUCAUCUGACUUUUUCAAAGUCCUUCUGACAUCUAGCUCGCUUCAGUAGUACUCCAUGCCUUCUCAUGGUGGCUCAACUUCGACCACCAUUAAUUUAAUACCCACGCCUCAUUUCCCAGCUUCUUCCUCGUGUGGUCCUGCUAGUCAGAUCGACAGCUCACCAUCGAUUGUCCCCGAGCCAUCAUAGUAGCCAGCAUGGUGGUUCAUCUUUUGUGCCUCAUACAUUGCCCACUCAAUUAUCAUCUCCAGCAUCAUCCACUCCAAGUAUAUCUAACUUGGCUAUUGGAGGCUCUCACGCAGCUGCAUCCCCAUCUACUAUUACGUCUACAAAUGCUGGUACCGUGAGACAUUGUACUAGAGGGACUGUACAGUACGAUCAUCUUUAUCGGCCGAUUAUCAUUCCCCGUGACGUUGGGUUUUUGCCAUCCUUUCAGGUCGCGCAUAUGGUGAUGGAAUCUAUGAAGACAUUUUUUGACGAGCCAUGGAAUUCUUGGAGAUAGAUACCAUACCAGAUCAAAAUGAAUAUGUGGCAACAAUUUAAGGAAAGGUGGCAAAAUGCCUAAUUGGAUACGUGAAGAUGUCUGGAAUCAGCUCUUGGUGAAGUGGAACACCCUUGAGUGGAAGAAGAAGAGUGAACAAGCAAAGUUAAACAGAGCUUCUACUAAGGGUGGAGCAUUUCAUACUGGAAGUUUAUUAGUUUUGCAGCCCAUCGUUGGAGAAUGGAAAAGGAACGUGGGGGAGAUGUGAUUUAUGCUGAGGUCUUUGCAGAGACUCAUAAGAAGAAGAAGGAUGGCACAAGAGAAGGAUGAAUCGAACCGCGUACUUUAGAGAUAUUUGACAAGUAUCAUAUUGAUCUUGAUACAUGGCAACAAACUCAACCUGAAAGAACUUAGCCGACCCCAGAGGAUAUGACUGCAAUUUGGACACAAGCAGCUGGUGGCGUGAAUAAAGAUCCAGACACUUCUGGUCACAGCGGUUGCUGAUUGAGGAGUCAGACUCAGG